GACUCUGGGCAGUUGCUGACUUGGCUCGUGUGUCUACUAAGAAUUCAGUUAGCUGUAUGAGUUUUCAUGAAUGGCAGGACACACUGAUCACUGACAGUUAAAACGCACUUGUGGCCCUGGGUUAAUCUUGGGGCUAUGCCUGUAUGAGCAUCG
rnacentral:rRNA from 1 species